GAAUUGGUGGUUCAGUGAUAGAAUUCUCACCUUCCAUGCAGGAGACCAGGGUUCAAUUCCCGGUCAAUGCA
rnacentral:tRNA from 1 species